GAAGAGGUGUGGCUAGAUGGGUAGACUGUUUUCAGUGGAAAAGAGCAUAGCAACAGGCAGUGGUGGCCAAAGGUGCCUUCUGAGAUAAGGGCGAGACCCGCACAUCUGAAGGAAUGACCUCAUCCAUUCAACCUCGGUACUUUUGAGCACAUGGCGACCCCCACCACGACCACCCCUACCCAGGCUGUAUUCCAUAGACGCAUGCCUCCCACAGGCACUCAACACACUCUGAACGCAGAGUGGAGAGGAAAGGCUGAUCAGAAGGGAGCGGGAAGCAGCACCAGCCACACUACUUAGAAACUCCGAAUCGAGGCCCUCUCCUUCCGGCUGCGAGGCGAUUCUGAACCACCGCCAUCAGCCAGGGCGCGGCCGCGGGACAGGCGCGGUUGCACUUGGCUUUGGCCGCGGCGCGCCCACCCCAGCGCA